rnacentral:rRNA from 1 species
UACGGAGGAUGCAAGCGUUAUCCGGAAUGAUUGGGCGUAAAGCGUCCGCAGGUGGCAAUGUAAGUCUGCUGUCAAAGCGUCUGGCUCAACCAGAUAAAGGCAGUGGAAACUACAUAGCUAGAGUAAGGUAGGGGUAGAGGGAAUUCCCGGUGUAGCGGUGAAAUGCGUAGAGAUCGGGAAGAACACCAGUGGCGAAAGCGCUCUACUGGGCCAUGACUGACACUGAGGGACGAAAGCUAGGGGAGCGAAAGGG